rnacentral:rRNA from 1 species
GCAAGUCGAGCGAAGUAACCUUAAAGAAAUUUCGGAUGGACUUAAGAUUAUCUUAGCGGCGGACGGGUGAGUAACGCGUGAGAAACCUGCCUUUCACAAAGGGAUAGCCUCGGGAAACUGGGAUUAAUACCAUAUGAAACUUUACACUCGCAUGAGAGUGAAGUUAAAGCGUUAAGCGGUGAAGAUGGUCUCGCGUCCCAUUAGUUAGUUGGUGAGGUAACGGCUCACCAAGACAGCGAUGGGUAGCCGGCCUGAGAGGGUGAACGGCCACACUGGAACUGAGACACGGUCCAGACUCCUACGGGAGGCAGCAGUGGGGAAUAUUGCACAAUGGAGGAAAAAACCUCUGAUGCAGCGACGCCGCGUGAACGAUGAAGGCCUUCGGGUCGUAAAGUUCUGUCCUUGGGGACGAUAAUGACGGUACCCAAGGAGGAAGCCCCGGCUAACUACGUGCCAGCCGCUGC